rnacentral:rRNA from 1 species
GCUACGGCCAUAUCAGCCUGGGUACGCCCGAUCUCGUCUGAUCUCGGAAGCUAAGCAGGGUCGGGCCUGGUUAGUACUUGGAUGGGAGACCCCCUGGGAAUACCAGGUGCUGUAAGCA